GGGGGCGAAUGGAUUCGACGGGGAUGGAUGAAGCAGGAGAAGCGUGCCGAGGUGCCAUCAACCUCGUAAAUCAGGUGGCAAACCAUAAUUGCCAACGACAAUUUGGCAUUGGCUGCCUAGAACAGGCAACCCGUCCGCCAGGUCCGUGCCUUGAGGGUCCUGAUCCGGGCGUCGAUUUCUGAGGGCUAGCCUUCGUUUUUUCUCCCGGAACGAUAGCGAAAUAAAAGAGGAGAUAGUUUCCCGGAUCAUUUGCCUGUCGAAGUACCGGGCGGCGAACAAAAAUCGACUGGCUACGCACGUAGAAGAACUGUGGAAGUAUUUCCGGACGUGGGUUCGAUUCCCACCGCCUCCACCA
rnacentral:tmRNA from 1 species